AUUAUGGAGAGUUUGAUCCUGGCUCAGAGUGAACGCUGGCGGCGUGCCUAACACAUGCAAGUCGAACGAUGAUAGAAGAGCUUGCUUUUCUUGAUUAGUGGCGCACGGGUGAGUAAUGCAUAGAUAAUGUGCCCCUUAGUUCGGGAUAGCCACUGGAAACGGUGAUUAAUACCGGAUACUCCUUCUCGUUAUAAGACGAGUCGGGAAAGUUUUUCGCUAAGGGAUCAGUC
rnacentral:rRNA from 1 species